GAUAGAAAUCCCGUAUGAGUGCAAUUUCUAAAUGAUAACCAAACUCUUGCUCUUAUGUUUAUAGAUUCACAUUUUCAUAAGUCGUAUCAUAUUUCUCGUAGGGAAAAAUUAUAACAUUUCGAACUUUUACUCUUUUCACAGAUUAUUUACCCGUGGCGAAUUUAUCUGCAGCUUCAACAGAGAAUACAACGGCGGUGCUUACUUGUAUUUGCCAUUGUAACCCACCUUGUCAAAUAUUUUUUGUUACUUAUUCCUAUCACACACCUGACAUUGUUUUCAAUAAGACAUAUCCUUGUGAACCAGAUCUAACUCGUGAAAAUCGAACAUUGUGUGGCGUUGUAACAACAAUAGGAAUAACAAAAGAAAGUAACGGUCGCGAAGAAAACCAAUGCAAAUUCCAUUACAAAAACCUUGGGAACAUCUUAACACUUACUCCAAAAAAUAUGUUUUACUUUCCACCAACAUAUGUCAACAUUACUGCAAGUAAAGAUGAUAAAACCUUAACCCUAAACUGCACAACCGAUUCGUCAAACCCUGUAGCUAUGUUAAAUUGGUAUAAGGGGAAUGAAGAUGUAGCCUCAACUAACUCUAUUAUCACAAGUAAUUAUCAGCCAAUCAUUGCUGACUCGGAGUAUAAUGGUAAAAGUAUAUCGCAAUCUCUCGACAUUAACGUAUACAAUGUCAAAGAUGAAGAGGUGGCUUUCUGUUGUGCAAAACAAUUGAAUACCGAGAUCUGUACAUCUAUUCCAGUAG